rnacentral:rRNA from 1 species
AGAGUUUGAUCCUGGCUCAGGACGAACGCUGGCGGCGUGCCUAACACAUGCAAGUCGAGCGAGGGACUUCGGUCCCUAGCGGCGGACGGGUGAGUAACACGUGGGUAACCUGCCUGUAAGACUGGGAUAACUUCGGGAAACCGGAGCUAAUACCGGAUCACUCUUUUCCUCACAUGAGGAAAAGCUGAAAGACGGCGCAAGCUGUCACUUACAGAUGGGCCCGCGGCGCAUUAGCUAGUUGGUGAGGUAACGGCUCACCAAGGCGACGAUGCGUAGCCGACCUGAGAGGGUGAUCGGCCACAUUGGGACUGAGACACGGCCCAAACUCCUACGGGAGGCAGCAGUAGGGAAUCUUUCCGCAAUGGACGAAAGUCUGACGGAGCAACGCCGCGUGAGUGAUGAAGGUUUUCGGAUCGUAAAACUCUGUUGUUAGGGAAGAACAAGUAUCGGAGUAACUGCCGGUACCUUGACGGUACCUAACCAGAAAGCCACGGCUAACUACGUGCCAGCAGCCGCGGUAAUACGUAGGUGGCAAGCGUUGUCCGGAAUUAUUGGGCGUAAAGCGCGCGCAGGCGGUUCUUUAAGUCUGGUGUCUAAGUGCGGGGCUCAACCCCGUGAUGCACUGGAAACUGGAGAACUUGAGUGCAGAAGAGGAGAGCGGAAUUCCACGUGUAGCGGUGAAAUGCGUAGAGAUGUGGAGGAACACCACUGGCGAAAGCGGCUCUCUGGACUGUAACUGACGCUGAGGCGCGAAAGCGUGGGGAGCAAACAGGAUAAGAUACCCUGGUAGUCCACGCCGUAAACGAUGAGUGCUAGGUGUUGGGGGGGUCCACCCCUCGGUGCCGAAGUUAACACAUUAAGCACUCCGCCUGGGGAGUACGGUCGCAAGACUGAAACUCAAAGGAAUUGACGGGGACCCGCACAAGCAGUGGAGUAUGUGGUUUAAUUCGAAGCAACGCGAAGAACCUUACCAAGUCUUGACAUCCCUCUGAUCGGUCUAGAGAUAGGCCUUCCCUUCGGGGCAGAGGUGACAGGUGGUGCAUGGUUGUCGUCAGCUCGUGUCGUGAGAUGUUGGGUUAAGUCCCGCAACGAGCGCAACCC